GACCUCGAUAGCUUAGCGCUCAAAAGUUCCAGGGCGUAAACCUGAACACCUGGGUUCAAAUCUCAGUCGAGUUCG